UACGUAGGGUGCGAGCGUUGUCCGGAAUUAUUGGGCGUAAAGAGCUCGUAGGCGGUUUGUCGCGUCGGGAGUGAAAACCUUGGGCUUAACUCAGGGCUUGCUUUCGAUACGGGCAGACUAGAGGUAUGCAGGGGAGAACGGAAUUCCUGGUGUAGCGGUGAAAUGCGCAGAUAUCAGGAGGAACACCGGUGGCGAAGGCGGUUCUCUGGGCAUGAUCUGACGCUGAGGAGCGAAAGUGUGGGGAGCGAACAGG
rnacentral:rRNA from 1 species